GAUGAACGCUGGCGGCGUGCCUAAUACAUGCAAGUCGAGCGAACAGACGAGGAGCUUGCUCCUCUGACGUUAGCGGCGGACGGGUGAGUAACACGUGGAUAACCUACCUAUAAGACUGGGAUAACUUCGGGAAACCGGAGCUAAUACCGGAUAAUAUAUUGAACCGCAUGGUUCAAUAGUGAAAGACGGUUUUGCUGUAACUUAUAGAUGGAUCCGCGCCGCAUUAGCUAGUUGGUAAGGUAACGGCUUACCAAGGCAACGAUGCGUAGCCGACCUGAGAGGGUGAUCGGCCACACUGGAACUGAGACACGGUCCAGACUCCUACGGGAGGCAGCAGUAGGGAAUCUUCCGCAAUGGGCGAAAGCUUGACGGAGCAACGCCGCGUGAGUGAUGAAGGUCUUCGGAUCGUAAAACUCUGUUAUUAGGGAAGAACAAAUGUGUAAGUAAAUAUGCACGUCUUGACGGUACCUAAUCAGAAAGCCACGGCUAACUACGUG
rnacentral:rRNA from 1 species